rnacentral:rRNA from 1 species
UACAGAGGGUGCGAGCGUUGUCCGGAAUCACUGGGCGUAAAGGGCGCGUAGGCGGCCUGAUAAGUAGGGGGUGAAAUCCUGUGGCUCAACUGCAGGGCUGCCUCCUAGACUGUCGGGCUUGAGCACGGUAGAGGCAGAUGGAAUUCCCGGUGUAGCGGUGGAAUGCGUAGAGAUCGGGAAGAACACCAGUGGCGAAGGCGGCUUACUGGUCCGGAACUGACGCUGAGGUGCGAAAGCGUGGGGAGCAAACA